GAUUUGAAAUAUGAGUAAUUCAUUUUUCUGGCCACACAGCUGGAACUUCCUAAGGUCAGGACACAGAAAAAACUAACUAUAAUCUGUUCCUCACACUGCCAUGGCAACAGUAAAGUGCCUCCCUGAUGAGCCUAAACUAGGAAGUAGAAGACACUGACAGAAGUGGGACUAUCUGUAAACUACAGGCUGCCUAAGCUUCCAAAAGACCUGGGUUUGACCUCUAGCCAGGCCUUACAUUAUUUGGACAAAAGAAAUCUCCAGAAACUGAGGUCCCAGACACAGCACACUUGGGAGAAAAAGGCUCUGGAGAAGCUGCUGGACCUCUCACAGCCAAAUAGUUUUGCAGAGCUGCAGGAGACUCCAGGGGAGAUGAUAAAGAACAGGCAGAGGCAGGCAGGCCAGGCACUGCAGGCACUGAAAGCCUUGCAGUCAGAAGGGAAGCACAGAGAGGAAGAGGCAGUGAGGAGAAAAGAAGCAGAGCUGAGACAAGCAAUGGAGAUCCCUGAGGAGUGCUGGCCAACAGCUGAAGUGUCCCUAGAAGACAUCACUGAAAUAAUGGAGAGACAUCUCAGUCACAUGGAACAGACCCUGGCUCACAGUCCAAACCUCUCAGAAGGAGACCUGGUAAGAUGGGCAUCUGGAGGGCUGGCCCCACAGGGAAUUUAUAAGACCAGCCACCAAAGAAGCCUGAUUCAGAAGAGAGAAGAGCUACUCAGUGUCCCCAAGCAGUUCUCACUUGUUGACCCAGAACACUGCAUGGAGAUAAAAACAAAGGAAUUUUCAUCUUUUGAAGAACAACCCAUGUUUACACAGAUUGUGGAGAGGAUGGGUUUCAGUUCAAACUCCUUAGUUAAAGACAAGGUUGGGGACUUAAGAAGCUGGUAUGUAUGGGUCAAAACAAACAGAAAGAAUCUGAGGAUACCCACCAAUCAUAUUCAGAGCAAACUUAUUGUUGCUCAGCCAAGUUCAGCUACAUUCUAUUGGCUACCUACCAUUUUCACAUCAAUGAUCUUCAACUCUCCAAGGUUGCUCUCCAGAAACUAAAAAGUAUUGAAGAACUCCUGGAACAGACUACACUCCACUGAGAUUCACUACCCUUACUGAGGAACAGGGCUGAAAACUUUUUCCACAGGUUUGGCUCUCAUGCUAACAAAUGCCUUCUGCACCUGGGGGGAAUCUACUGCUGAAAAGACAUUUCAGAAGGUUUCUAAAGUAAGAAAAGCUGGCAAGAUGCAAGUAAAUCUCCACAGGACAAGAGCUACAGUCACAAAAUCAGCAGAUGUGUCGUGUCUCUACCCCCAUAGUGUCCUUCAUUAGGGUUGGAAAUGGCCUCUCUGCUUCCAAAUCUCAGAUCAUGAACUCUCUUCUCAGUAAACGUAAACAUGAUGUGUUUUUUCACAGAUACUGAAGAGGAAGCAACAAACAGUGUGUUCUGAUGUGGGGAGUGUUGGAAAUCUGCUGGUUCUGGCCAGCCAGCCAAAGUGAGGACAUGUUUGACAAGAGUCUGACUUUCACUAAUCUUCCUGGAGAUGCCAAGGAACAAACCCAACAACUCAGAUUUUUCCAAUAUAUCUCUUCUACCAUAGUGGUCCUCAUGCCAGUUUCUGAUAACAGUAAAGAAAACCAAAAGCUUGUCAGACACCUCUGUCAGUCAUCAACACUUUUGAUUUGCUUGAUUGAUGACAAAGAAAAGGCCAUAGCAAAUAUUUCUGGUAAAAGAAUGAGAAUUGGCAUCAAGAAUAGAAAUGAGGCAGAAUUAACAGAGGAGCUCACCAAAGCCAUCAAACGUUUUCUAGUGCUCUCUAACACUGCUCUCAGUUUAGAGGACUGUUCACAGACAGCUGGAGAACAAGGAUUCCUCAUUGAUGAAGACCAGAGAGACUGCAAGGAAGCCAAAGAAAUGCCUCAGACUAUAAUGGCCCUUCUGGAGGAAUACAAGUUAUCUCAGACAAAAGGAAAUUUACUACCCUUUCAAGGACAACUUUGGCAUCUUUGGUGUAAGAAGGACAAAGAAUUCUAUCAUCUGACAGAAAAAGGGAAUCAGAGCACUGAACAACACAAGAGUGAGAUUGCAACAUGUAAAUGAAUAAGACAUUCACAGAAGAACUUGGCUUUGAUUAUGUGCUUGUUGUAAACAUAGAAGGACUUCGGGCUCCAGAACUCAACAACAAAUCUCAGAAUUGGGACCAUGAGUCGGCAACAUUAGUCAUUGCCUUUGGAAACUUGACUCUGAUCAAUAUUUUUGGGUAGAAUCACUCAGACAUUCAGGACAUCCUAGAAAUAUCUGUUCAAGCAUUUCUGAGAAUGAAACAAGAAAAAAUCUCCCCCAGUUGCCUCUUUGUCAAUCAGAAUGUGGGAGAAGUUACAGCAAAAGACCAAACUAUGGAAGGACAGAGGAGACUGGAACAGAAACUGGAUGAAAUGACUGCAUUGGCUGCAGAGUUGGAAGACUGCUCAAACAUAACCCGUUUCAGUGAUGUAAUUAAGCUUGAUGCCAAUCGCUAUGUCUACUACUUUGCUUACCUCUGGGAUGGCAAUCCGCCAGUGGUCCGUCCCAAUCCUCACUAUAGCUACAAUGUCCAGGAACUAAGGAAUGAAAUUCUUUCAACUGCCCAGCAGGAAUCUAGGGGAAGGAGCUUGAAAAUCUUAGAUUUCAAAUUCAGAGUUCAAGAUUUGUAGAAAGCCCUUGUCAGUGAAAACAUCAGUUUCAGUUUCAGGAACACCCAAGAGGUCAUAGCCAUGAGCAAACUGGAAACCAUGUAUAGCCACUGGACCUGGGAGCUAAGGAGUCAUGUACUGGACUUACAGAAUCAUCUGGACAAUCAGAUUCAAAAUGGGAAAAUCCUGACACUCACAUCUAAUUUGCUGGAGAAUCCACUUGGUAAGAAAUAUGAAACCAUCAAACAUGAAUUUGACAAAUAUUUCAAAGAAGACCCAGAUAGUGAAUUAUUGGUUCAGUGGAAAGCAAAUUUUGAACACAAUCUACUAAUCCUUAAAGACACACUUAUUUCAGAUGUCAGAAGGAAAUGCAAUUAACAUAUCAGUCUUUAAAAAAGCCAAAAAAUUCUUGAUACCCAAAAAUCACAAUAUGAAAAUCAGUUGUUAGAGUGGAGCUGACAGUUAGUUUUAAGUGAGACUGGUUAGGAAUCAAGUGACAAAGAAUUGGAAGAGAAUUUCAGUCUACUUUGAAAAAGUGGAUCUACAAUGUGUCUUCCAAUGUCCCUCAUGUCACAGAGCCCAGCAUUGUCUUCAGAUUCUGAAAAUAUCCUUCUGGAAUAUUUCAAGAAGGAGAAAACUAUUGUGCAAAGACUAAAAAUAAAGUCUCGAGAAACUUUUAAAAUCAAAUAUGGCAAACAUAUCCAAAUGAAAAAAGAACAUGUUGUAUUUACAAAGAGUUUAAAACCUCAUCACAAAUUAUCCAUGGAUGUCACUACUAACAAUAUUCUUUAUAAAUUUACUGAAACACUUAAAAACAUUUGGAAGCAAAAGCGUGAUUACAGUCAGAAUUACUUUCAUGAAAUCUUGAAGAUCAUAGAAAAUGAGCUGAAAUCUGAACCCUGUGAGGGAGACUACACAUUUACCAAAGACUACAUCAUUGACUUAUCCUUGUACUUAUUCCAAAGAGCAUCCAAGGAUUUCAGGAAAAUGCAUGAGGCAUUCAAGAGUGCAAAUGAUCCUGUGAACUAUCUGGAGUGAAUAGAGAAUAGAUGAUUAUCCAGCCUAGCUGAACAACUUCGAAAAUAAGAUAUAAGAUAAACUGUUUGUUUCUUGGUAAAUACAAAUUGGUCAACAUCUAAGCAUAGAGAAAAGUUGCUACUGUAGACUUGGCUUGCUUAAUCUUUGUUAAUCAAUGACGAAAGAAUUGUGGCUUUGGGAUUAGUAUGAAGGAAAAGAUAGAUGAAAGAAAGUUAGGUGAGAAAUGUUUCAUUAGAUGUGAGUUUCAAAAGAGGAAUACACAAUCAAUACUCCUGUUGUAAUUUCCUGUUGUGUGAUGGCUUGAUUCUGUUUUUGAAGAACAUGGGUUUUGGUGAUUGUUUUUAGAAAAUUUGUAACUUGUAAUCAGGUAAUCUUUUACAAACAUAGAGAACUUUGUCUUAGAUGAUGUUAAAAGGAUAACUGAAAAUAAAGUUGUUGGAGCUCACACUUUGCAGAUUGCUUCCUCCACCAAAUGUGUGAGCAUGUGCCUGCUUUAUUUACAUCAUCACCAACCCCAUAUCCCCUCAUUUGAUCAUUGACAUAGCUAGUCUUUAACAUCCUAGUAUCAAUUUAAGUUGCAUUAUAAAUGAAAUAAGUCAAAAUACAUCAGUAACUAUUGUAAGACUUGAAGAUCUUCUAUUAAAAAGAUUUUACUUCUCUC